AAGUUCUUCUCUCGGAGGAAAAACGUAAAGCCUCGUUGACUUUGUACAAGCCAAAAAUCAUAGAAUGAAUUGGAAUAAUGAGACCUUCUUCGUAAAAAUCUAAUACUUCUUCUCCGGCUUGCCUAUAUAAUUGCACUAGUCGCGAUAGAGAAUAAGCGUAGCUUUGUAUCUACGAUAUAAAACGAAUAAAAUGUACUGCUACGCGA